CGGGCUUCUAGCUGAGUUGCUUAUGCAUAUUUCUAAUUUACUGUGAACUGUUUUACUGUUUAGCGUUUUGAGGGAUUGCCUAAAGAUUAUAGGGAUAGGUCUUUAGGAUGUUAACCUAGCUAAAGUCAGGCUUAGGCCUGGUAUCCUAAUUCAUUAUUUACCAAAAGAAUUCAGAAUUAAUAUUGUAACAUAAGCGUAAAAAACUUAUAAAACAACUUUUAACAACGGAUCUCUUGGUUCUCGCAUCGAUGAAGAACGUAGCAAAGUGCGAUAACUAGUGUGAAUUGCAUAUUCAGUGAAUCAUCGAGUCUUUGAACGCAUCUUGCGCUCAAUGGUAUUCCAUUGAGCACGCCUGUUUCAGUAUCAACAACAACCCACAUCCACAAUUUUGUUGUGAAUGGAAGUGAGAGUAUCGACGUUAAAAUUGAACUCUUUAAAACUAUUAGGCCUGAACUAUUGUUCUAUUAGCCUGAACAUUUUUUUAAUAUAAAGGAAUGCUCUAGUUAAAAGACUAUCUUGGGGGCCUCCCAAAUAAAUCAUUUUUUUAAACUUGAUCUGAAAUCAGGUGGGAUUACCCGCUGAACUUAAGCAUAUCAAUAAGCGGAGGAA
rnacentral:rRNA from 1 species